AACUUGUGGCUAUUGAGCUCUCACGUGAACAAAUCCUCUUUCCCUCUCUCACGAUGGCGGCGGCCGAAAUUCCCACCGGCGAAGAUCUCCGGCAAAACUCUCACUCUCUUCAAUCUCUCCGGCCUCCGUCUUUCUCUCAUCUUCGCCGUGAACAGAAUAGGACACCAAUAUCACAUCUUGCUCCGGUUCUCACCCUCCUCUCUCAAAUUCCGACGAGAUUUCAACGAACACCAACACACGGAUGAACAAUCGGCGCCUCUUCGAAUUAGAUGAUGAUUGGGAGCAGAAAUCCGUGAAGACCUCAAGAAUCCAAGUAAUUUCGCUCCAUUCUCUUCAUCUCUUCUUCUUGCUCUCUCCGAUUGACGUUUUCAUUGGCGAGCACGUUGUGAUGUUGUUUCUGUGGUGUUGUUGAUUGUUGCGAUGAUGAUGAAUGAACGCGGUGGUUGAAGGUGAUGCAGAGGCGAUUCAAAUGAUGAAUCAGUGAUGAUGAUGUAUGUUCGGUGUUGAUGCGAUGAAGAUGUUGGUGUAGUAACGACGAAGAACAGAUGCGCGAGACUGGAAUAACGAUGAUGAUGAUGAUGCGAGAUUGAAGAAUCUUUCCGUGGUGAAUCGGUGGUGAGAUUGAAGAAGAGUGGAUGAAGGUUCGAUCAAUAGCUCAAGAAAUAGGUUUUGUUGAAGAUUGAAGGAGAGGAUUCUGGAGAGGUGAAUGAAUGAAGAUGAAGAUGAUGGAGAAUUGAAUGAAGAUGAAGAUGAAGAUGAUGGAGAAUUGAAUGAAGAUGAAGAUGAAGAUGGUGGAUCGGUCAGGGAAAGUUUGUUACAGGGAGGAAGAUUGGUUAUGAAUGGAAGAGCCUUGAUGAUGUCGAAGGGAGAAAGAUCCCGUUAGAGAUUGAGAGAGGUUCUGAAUUCAUUUUUCUGUUAUGAGGUUCAUGGUUCUUUUGGAGAGGAAUUUUUGUUGUAUGAAUCGCAGAGAGAGAGAUGAAGUUUGUUAUGGUUCUGUUAUCAAGGUCGGUUCGGUUUUCCAUCCCAAUGAGUUUUGGUUUUGUUUUUCCCUUAUGCAGCAAGUUUUGGUGUGAGAAUUUGUUAGCUGCAAGUGGAUCGGUUUUGGUUGCAUAAUGCAGGGAAUUUCUUUACGGUGCAGAGCUGGAAUUUUGCAUAGAUUGUCUUUCUAUUUUUUUAUGGUAUUUUUGUAAUGGAGAUUUGUAAUGACCUUUGAAUGAUUAUGAAUCUUGCAAGCAAUUUGAAUGAAUUUGAAUCUCGAAA